GAUGAACGCUGGCGGCGUGCCUAAUACAUGCAAGUCGAGCGAACGGACGAGAAGCUUGCUUCUCUGAUGUUAGCGGCGGACGGGUGAGUAACACGUGGAUAACCUACCUAUAAGACUGGGAUAACUUCGGGAAACCGGAGCUAAUACCGGAUAAUAUUUUGAACCGCAUGGUUCAAAAGUGAAAGACGGUCUUGCUGUCACUUAUAGAUGGAUCCGCGCUGCAUUAGCUAGUUGGUAAGGUAACGGCUUACCAAGGCAACGAUGCAUAGCCGACCUGAGAGGGUGAUCGGCCACACUGGAACUGAGACACGGUCCAGACUCCUACGGGAGGCAGCAGUAGGGAAUCUUCCGCAAUGGGCGAAAGCCUGACGAAGUAACGCCGCGUGAGUGAUGAAGGUCUUCGGAUCGUAAAACUCUGUUAUUAGGGAAGAACAUAUGUGUAAGUAACUGUGCACAUCUUGACGGUACCUAAUCAGAAAGCCACGGCUAACUACGUG
rnacentral:rRNA from 1 species